UAGGGAAUCUUCGGCAAUGGGGGCAACCCUGACCGAGCAACGCCGCGUGAGUGAAGAAGGUUUUCGGAUCGUAAAGCUCUGUUGUAAGAGAAGAACGAGUGUGAGAGUGGAAAGUUCACACCGUGACGGUAUCUUACCAGAAAGGGACGGCUAACUACGUGCCAGCAGCCGCGGUAAUACGUAGGUCCCGAGCGUUGUCCGGAUUUAUUGGGCGUAAAGCGAGCGCAGGCGGUUAGAUAAGUCUGAAGUUAAAGGCUGUGGCUUAACCAUAGUACGCUUUGGAAACUGUUUAACUUGAGUGCAAGAGGGGAGAGUGGAAUUCCAUGUGUAGCGGUGAAAUGCGUAGAUAUAUGGAGGAACACCGGUGGCGAAAGCGGCUCUCUGGCUUGUAACUGACGCUGAGGCUCGAAAGCGUGGGGAGCAAACAGGAUUAGAUACCCUGGUAGUCCACGCCGUAAACGAUGAGUGCUAGGUGUUAGACCCUUUCCGGGGUUUAGUGCCGUAGCUAACGCAUUAAGCACUCCGCCUGGGGAGUACGACCGCAAGGUUG
rnacentral:rRNA from 1 species